AUUGAACGCUGGCGGCAGGCCUAACACAUGCAAGUCGAACGAGUGGCGGACGGGUGAGUAAUGUCUGGGAAACCGCCUGAUGGAGGGGGCUAACCAGUGGAAACGGUAGCCUAUAACGCACACCAUCUGUUGUGCCUAGAUGGGAUGAGCUAGUAGGUGGGGUAAACGCUCACCUAGGCGACGAUCCCGAGCGGGUCUGAGAGGAUGAACAGCAACACUGGAACGGAGAAACGGUCCAGACUCCUACGGGAGGCAGCGGUGGGGAUUAUUGGACAAUGGGCGCAAGCCUGAUGCAGCCAUGCCGCGUGUAUGAAGAAGGCCUUCGGGUUGUAAAGUACUUUCAGCGGGGAGGCGUUACCCGCAGAAGAAGCACCGGCUAACUCCGUGCCAGCAGCCGCGGUAAUAC
rnacentral:rRNA from 1 species